AUUGAACGCUGGCGGCAGGCCUAACACAUGCAAGUCGAGCGGAUGACGGGAGCUUGCUCCUUGGUUCAGCGGCGGACGGGUGAGUAAUACCUAGGAAUCUGCCUGAUAGUGGGGGACAACGUUUCGAAGGGAACGCUAAUACCGCAUACGUCCUACGGGAGAAAGCAGGGGACCUUCGGGCCUUGCGCUAUCAGAUGAGCCUAGGUCGGAUUAGCUAGUUGGUGAGGUAAUGGCUCACCAAGGCGACGAUCCGUAACUGGUCUGAGAGGAUGAUCAGUCCACCUGGAACUGAGCCACGGUCCAGACUCCUACGGGAGGCAGCAGUGGGGAAUAUUGGACAAUGGGCGAAAGCCUGAUCCAGCCAUGCCGCGUGUGUGAAGAAGGUCUUCGGAUUGUAAAGCACUUUAAGUUGGGAGGAAGGGCAGUAAGCUAAUACCUUGCUGUUUUGACGUUACCGACAGAAUAAGCACCGGCUAACUCUGUGCCAGCCGCCGCGGUAACAC
rnacentral:rRNA from 1 species